ACGCAAUAGAUACCCAGGUAGUCCACGCCCUAAACGAUGUCUACUAGUUGUCGGGUCUUAAUUGACUUGGUAAACGCAGCUAAACGCGUGAAGUAGACCGCCUGGGGAGUACGGUCGCAAGAUUAAAACUCAAAGGAAUUGACGGGGACCCGCACAUGCGGUGGAUGAUGUGGAUUAAUUCGAUGCAACGCGAAAACCUUACCUACCCUUGACAUGGAAGGAAUCCCUGAGAGAUCGGGGAGUGCUCGAAAGAGAACCUUUACACAGGUGCUGCAUGGCUGUCGUCAGCUCGUGUCGUGAGAUGUUGGGUUAAGUCCCGCAACGAGCGCAACCCUUGUCAUUAGUUGCUACGAAAGGGCACUCUAAUGAGACUGCCGGUGACAAACCGGAGGAAGGUGGGGAUGACGUCAAGUCCUCAUGGCCCUUAUGGGUAGGGCUUCACACGUCAUACAAUGGUACAUACAGAGGGCCGCCAACCCGCGAGGGGAGCUAAUCCCAGAAAGUGUAUCGUAGUCCGGAUUGUAGUCUGCAACUCG
rnacentral:rRNA from 1 species